rnacentral:rRNA from 1 species
GUAUUCCCCUAGUAACUGCGAGUGAAGCGGGAAAAGCUCAAAUUUAAAAUCUGGUGGUCUUUGGCCAUCCGAGUUGUAAUCUAGAGAAGUGUUAUCCGCGCUGGACCGUGUACAAGUCCCCUGGAAUGGGGCGUCAUAGAGGGUGAGAAUCCCGUCUUUGACACGGACUACCAGGGCUUUGUGAUGCACUCUCAAAGAGUCGAGUUGUUUGGGAAUGCAGCUCAAAAUGGGUGGUAAAUUCCAUCUAAAGCUAAAUAUUGGCGAGAGACCGAUAGCGAACAAGUACCGUGAGGGAAAGAUGAAAAGAACUUUGGAAAGAGAGUUAAACAGUACGUGAAAUUGUUGAAAGGGAAACGCUUGAAGUCAGUCGCGUCUGCCAGGGAUCAACCUUACUUUUGUGAGGCGUACUUCCUGGUUGAUGGGUCAGCAUCAGUUUUGGUCGCUGGAUAAAGGUCAGAGAAAUGUGGCACCUUCGGGUGUGUUAUAGUCUUUGAUCAGAUACAGUGGCUGGGACUGAGGAACUCAGCGCCGCAAGGCUGUCUUAGGAUGCUGGCAAAAUGGCUUUAAUCGACCCGUCUUGAAACACGGACCAAGGAGUCUAACAUGCCUGCGAGUGUUUGGGUGGAAAACCCGAGCGCGUAAUGAAAGUGAAAGUUGGGAUCCCUGUCAUGGGGAGCACCGACGCCCAUACCAGAAGUUUACGGACGGAUAUGCGGUAGAGCAUGUAUGUUGGGACCCGAAAGAUGGUGAACUAUGCCUGAAUAGGGCGAAGCCAGAGGAAACUCUGGUGGAGGCUCGUAGCGAUUCUGACGUGCAAAUCGAUCGUC